rnacentral:rRNA from 1 species
AGAGCGAACGCUGGCGGCAGGCCUAACACAUGCAAGUCGAGCGCCCCGCAAGGGGAGCGGCAGACGGGAGAGUAACACGUGGGAACGUACCCUUCAGUUCGGAACAACCCAGGGAAACUUGGGCUAAUACCGAAUACGUCCGUAAGGAGAAAGAUUUAUCGCUGAAGGAUCGGCCCGCGUCUGAUUAGCUAGUUGGUGAGGUAACGGCUCACCAAGGCUACGAUCAGUAGCUGGUCUGAGAGGAUGAUCAGCCUCACUGGGACUGAAACACGGUCCAGACUCCUACGGGAGGCAGCAGUGGGGAAUUUUGCGCAAUGGGGGAAACCCUGACGCAGCAACGCCGCGUGGAGGAUGAAAUCCCUUGGGAUGUAAACUCCUUUCGAUAGGGAAGAUAAUGACGGUACCUAUAGAAGAAGCCCCGGCUAACUUCGUGCCAGCAGCCGC